AUUAACGCUGGCGGCGUGCAUAACACAUGCAAGUCGAACGAUGAAACUUAACUGAUUUCUUCGGCAUGAUUUUAAGUGGAUUAGUGGCGGACGGGUGAGUAACGCGUGAGUAACCUGCCUUGGAGAAGGGGAUAGCCUUUGGAAACGAAGAAUAAUACCCUAUGAUAUGAUAAUAUCUCAUGAUAUUAUCAUCAAAGAUUUAUCGCUCUAAGAUGGACUUGCGUCUGAUUAGUUAGUUGGUGAGGUAACAGCUCACCAAGGCAGCGAUCAGUAGCCGGCUUGAGAGAGUGUACGGCCACAUUGGGACUGAGACACGGCCCAGACUCCUACGGGAGGCAGCAGUGGGGAAUUUGGCACAAUGGGGGAAACCCUGAUGCAGCGACGCCGCGUGAUUUAGAAGGCCUUCGGGUUGUAAAAAUCUUUUGUAUGGGAAGAAAAUGACAGUACCAUACGAAUAAGGACCGGCUAAUUACGUG
rnacentral:rRNA from 1 species